rnacentral:antisense_RNA from 2 species
CGUUUAGGCGGCUCGACGGGAGGGCGCAAGCCCUGCCGGUUUCACGCAAGUGGUUUCCCGGUCUUCCAACCCGUCGAGCUGCCGCCCUC